GACUCCGGUUGAUCCUGCCGGACCCGACCGCUAUCGGGGUGGGGCUAAGCCAUGCAAGUCAGGGCCCCGGGCCACGGCGGGGCCCGGCGGACGGCUCAGUAGCACGUGGCUAACCUACCCUCGGGACGGGGAUAUCCCCGGGAAACUGGGGGUAAUCCCCGAUAGGUGCAGGCUCCUGGAAUGGGCCUGCGCCGAAAGGGGUGCGGCGCCAUGCCCGCUGCACUCGCCCGAGGAUGGGGCUGCGCCCCAUCAUGGUAGUUGGCGGGGUAACGGCCCGCCAAGCCGAAGACGGGUGGGGGCCGUGAGAGCGGGAGCCCCGAGAUGGGCACUGAGACAAGGGCCCAGGC
rnacentral:rRNA from 1 species